rnacentral:misc_RNA from 1 species
AGCAAAUUGAGUCUCCCAAUGAAUUCAGAGAUGAACCAUGACACUGGAUACCUUGGAUAGAUCAUUGACGGACGUAUGGGGGAUUUUAUCCGAAACUUCAUUUUUCGGUAGUCUUCAUUUUGCUCUGCUCGCGCUGCCCUUCUCUUUCUCUCUAACAAUGGCGUCCUCUUCUUUCUCGAAGGUUAAUUGUAACGAUAAUGCUAGCAAUGUCGAUGUGAAGCUGUUCUCUUCUCUUUUAGCU